GAGAGUUUGGCCGAGUGGUUAAGGCGUCAGAUUUAGGUUCUCUGAUAUCUACGGAUGCAAGGGUUCGAAUCCCUUAGCUCUCA
rnacentral:tRNA from 1 species